GAACUUUAUAAACUAUAAAUAAAUAAAUUCAUAUUAUAUUUAGUACACGCAAAGUGGUAGCAAAAUGGCUGAAAUUCUAAAAUUCGUUUAUGCUAUGAUUCUAUUUCUUUUCGUAAUGAAAGUUGGUGGUGCAAAUAAUAAUCAAUGUCAAACCGAUGCCGAUUGUCCACCUCAUACGUGCUCUCAUUUUCUUAUGAAGUGCAUUGAUCACAAAUGCACAUUUAUAGAAAACAUUCCAAGAGAGUACAAAAAUGCUCUAUGAAUAAGAAUGAGUUCUUGUUUUAUUAGAAAAAUAAAUGAGCAAUAUAUGUUAUUCUG